UUGCUUGGCCUCCUUGGGGCCCUGCAGGAUGGGGAUUUGCAGAUGCCAUCCCCAUGGGAUGGGGAUGUACGGGCAAUCCCAGACAAACCCCAGGCAGCCCAGGUGGCAGCUCAGCUCCUGGAGCAGGGCAGAUGGGAUCUGCUCGUGUGGCUGACAUCCCCUAGCAGCACACCGUUCUGAACCUUCGUGUCAAUAAUUAUGAUGUGCUCAGGAAAUGUCUUUACAGGAAAUAAAGAUCAGCUCAGCCUAAGCACCACAUAAGCCUCAUUUCUUUCACGUGGCAGAUUAUGUGGGCAGGAAAUAUUCUCACUCUUUACCCUGUGGAUGACUGAUUCCAGACCUGACCAAGUGCAAGCAAGCACGUCUCCUCCAUCUAAAUGAUCCAGUGAAUGAUCCAAAUGAUCUGACACCGAGAAAAAGGAGAGAAGGGAAAACUCUGUCCCGGUGUUGCUGGAUGCACCUAACAUUUUUCUUCCUGUUUUCAGCAGGGUGUUUCAGAUCAGACUGGGGAAGGCUGCAGAUCAGUGCACAGGUGACGUCUCUCUAGCAGGUGUUUCAUUUCCAGUAAGCCAGGUUUGUGCCUUGGGAUGAUUCACCGUGACACCCGAGUCCCUUUUAUAAGGGGUGGCCACAACUUUCCGACCCCAUUUUUUCCAAAGCUUUUCAGGCAUAUUUGAGUUCAGCCACUCCAGUUCCGUCACCAAACAGUCUCCCUGCGUGAUGUGUUCAUUUACCAGUUACCUUGGUGCCUUCGUUAGGCUGCGUCCACAGCCUGGAGGGAAGUGAGGAGGUCAGGUUCUGCAGGAGGGAUGCAGCUGAUGGAAAGGGAGCGGAGAGGAUUUAAGCUAUAUUAAGAUUUCAGCACAUCUGCAGCAAGAGAAGAAGCGCUUCCACCAGAAAUGAUCCCUUGGGAGCAGCAAAAGCCUCUGAAGAAGCAAUAUUUGGAUGGGAAACUUAUGUCCUCCAAGCUGGCAAGUUGUAACACCGACACAGCUCAUUCCUGUAGCUGCAAAGCUCUGCCUGCAAAAGGCAGGCGCUGAAAUCCCAGGAGCUGGAGCAUGGAGGGCACAAGCCCAGGAGGGAUCCUUGGGGACAGGGCAAGUCCCUGAAGUCCCCUCCUGCCACCGAGACCACCAGGCUCAGAGGCGGCCUGUGGUGAAAGGAAGCCUGUGAAAACAACCCCAGCAGGAGGCAAGCUUGUUGAACACCCCAGGGAACAAGGCAGUGAGACUGCUCCUGAAUUCUCAGGAGCUGUGAAUUACCUGAGCGAGCAGAGCCCUGAGCAGCAGCAUCACAGCCAGCAUCCGACCAGGGGCUGCACCCAGGGACACCACGGAGCUGCAGGAGGGCACGCACCUGACAGCCCCAUGAAGUCCUCAUCCUCUUAUCUAUGUGUCACAAAUAAAUGGAAAGAGGCAAACUGCAAAAUGACUUCACUCCCACCUUUUAGAGGAGCCUCUCAGAUAGCAAGUGGCUCCUCAAGAAAGCACGCACAAUUUAGUGCUAUUUCAGAAGUGAUCUGGCUGCUAAGCUGCACGAGGCUAUCUUCCCAGUAUGAAUCGAGCUCGCCGAGCCUCUGAUGCCAGCUGUUAUCCUCCUUGACCCUGCCUGUUGAUACAAAACCAUGGCAGAAAGUGCUGAUUCUCUCCAGGUGUCAGAAACCCUGAGAAUACCAGAGGUUUGGCCCGGCUGGGAUAGCAGGUUUGUUGUCACCAAGUGUUGGUCUUUGUGCGGGUUCGAGGCUGCAGAAAAGCUCACGAGCCCUUUAAAGUCUGCUAAUGUGGAUUUUGUUUUCUUUUGGAGAGAAUGUGUCAGGUACAAAAGAAGAAAACACAAAGCCCUUUACGGUACCGGGAAGGAAGGUGAUGCCCGGCAGUUGUGGCCAGCUGGCUCAGAAAAUUGUGCCCUUCAGAGCCUGCUUUGCCUGCCGUGGGGUUUUAUCUUUCUUGCUCAAGUCCUUGAAUUAUUUCGAUAAUGAAGAGGCCAGGAGAGGCAUUGCUCUACUCUUUAAAAGCAGUGAAACAAAAUUUCCAACUGUGAGCUUUGGACCGAAUUGUCUGAUGAGGAAAAAAUACAACUGUAAAGGCAAACAAAGGAAAAGGCAGUGCUUCUAAUGGAACUAGCUGUGCAACCACCUGGAAAUUUUGGCUACACCUGUAAAAACUCCAGGAAGCCGCCAGGCCACAAAGGCAAAAUAUCUGCAUGUGGUUUGCACCAGAAAAAGGGAACUCAGGACCAAUUAUAGGAUUGUAACCAGCCUGGUCCUGCCUGGGGCACUGCAGCCGGCAGCAGACUUUGCAUCAGGACCAUCCGAGACCUGGUGCAGCAAGGGGACAGGAGUCGGCCCCUCGCCGAGAUGGGAGGUGUAGGGCUGAGGAAGAUCAUGCUCAUUAGUUUAAUUAUGAAGCCCCCCCAGGCCAAGGCAGAUCCCAUACAGACACACGAGACCCUCCUUGCUGCUAUGGUGGCAGCUGAAAGAGCCCGGUACAACCAAGCACCGAGCUCUUUUCCACUUCCCUUCCUACUCUUUGUCUCCUGCACCUCCCCGGUUCUUCAGCUGCUGGAUUGUUUCUUGUCUCUGAUGUAAAAGGCUGGUUCUUACCAUUCCUGAUGCACACUGCUGCUUUCUGACCUGCUCUUGCCUGGUCUCCCUGAAGCAUUAGCGGAUGGAUUGAAGUCUGGCAGUGUCUGCUCCUCUACCCGCUUCUGAGCACGAAGGUGAAGAGCUACAGAGAAUGAGAGUUGUUUCCUGAAAUAAAAAAAAAUAAUAAAAAUAAUAAUAAUAAUAAAAAGCAAGCCAUCUUUUCAGAUACGUAUGUGUAACUUGCAUUUCUUUCCUAUCUCCUCUGUCCUUUGGGUGCAUUUUGAAUCCCCGGUGCUGAGACAACAGGUGAAAAGACAUGGGAUGUGGCCUUGCCUGACCUCGGAUCAGCAGCCCAAGAGAUCAGGUCCUAAGAGAAGGAGGUAAACCUGUGCUAUUUGCCUGAAGUAGGCCCUAGGUUGCUUACAGGGUAUGGGCAGACACCGAGGCAGCUUUUCCAGUGUCGGUGUGGACACACACUUUGCAGCCAUGCUGUGAGCAGGCCGCGGCUGUGGGGCACGCAGGAAUGAAUGCUUUUGCUGAAGCCUCGCAUCUCCAGCUGCAGCGGGGGGAGGCAGGAGCCCUGUUCUUGCUCGUGGUCCUUCCGACUGAGCCUGCGUGGGACCUGGGGGUGUUAUCACAGCUAACCCCUGCCUUUGCCAGGCCGCCUUCAUGACCGGCACGCUCUGUGCAUCCUCAGCGGGUUCUCCUCGGCUGGUGAAGGUGAGGAGGGGACCUCCCAGGAGGGGCUGGGCUCUGGCAGGAGGACCCAGGCUGGAAACCAGCCCCCGGGAGCAGAGAUCCAGCCCAGCCCGAUCUGCAAGGAGGUGUGUGCCUGGCCCCAGAGCUGUCUUCGUCCGAGAGCAGGGAAUGGGCAUGGCUGUUGCCCACUGCGGUCCCUCAGCUCUGCACCUGGGGUCCAAAUGCAAAACCUCCCAACGAGAACCAGGAGGCACUAAGGGGCCACUUUUUGAACAUUUGGUCAGCCAAGGAGCAAAGCAAAGAGGGACCUCGAACCUAGGGGCGUUUUGACCCAGAUGAAUUCCCCUCCCAUGCAUUGACUGAACGCACAGCAUCAGUUUGGUGCCUCUGUUGUCAGUGCGCAAGGGCAGGGGCAAGCAAGAUGUUUCUGGACAUCAAUAGCACAUGGGCACAUGUAGGAUCUUUUUUCAGGAUGGGGAAAAAAAGAAUAAACAGCCUGUAAAUACUUGUAACCCUGGGGCAAUGGAAAGUAUAUCCUGGCAAUGUAUGUGGGUUUUACUGUUCCAUGACAAUUUGCUUUGCUAUUCAUGAAAAAAUAUGUUGGUGCUGUUACCUUAGCAACUGCCGCAUCACGUUAUGGUGAUGCUCUGCCCGAGGUACAUGGAGCCCUGCCUUAAAGGAGCACAUCCGUCUUUCCUGGUGCCUCUUCCCGCAAAAAGGGAGCCCGGCCGAGCCAGCACCCUUGCCAGGGAAGCCACAGAAGUUGGUGAUGAAGCAGGAGGAAAUGCGUUAAUUUAGGUUUACUGCUUGGACCACAGCACUGGGUCGUGGCCCAGAGCCACUUUGGACUACAUGCUGUAUAAACUUGCGGCAAAAGGGGGUUGUUUUCCCCAAAUGCUUCCACUUUGUAAAAGAAGGAACAGGGCAGCAGGUGACCACAGGCAGGCUGGAUGCGUGGUGUGGAACAGCUUUGUCCGGUGUCUCCACCCGUACUGUCCUUAUUAACAUCUUCUACCAGAGUGGGCCAGUUUUCCAAGAAACAACAGUUUUGCUUUCUUUUUUAUUGAUGUCAGUAAAAAACACCGCCAGAUGAAUUCUCCCCCAGUAUCUGUAGCUGGGAUCCCAAGGCAAUUCCUAAGGGAAGAUGAGGAGAAAUCCAUCACGCAGGCAGUCACGGUGGCAUCCCAGCUGCCAGAAGAAAACAUCCCGUGUUCAUCAUUGAGUUUGUCUGCAUGAAAUGGGCUAUUCAGGAGGCUCACACACGUAUGAUUUCCUCUGAGGAUAGAUUGCCUGCUCCUCAAGUAUCAGAUGCUACAGAGCCCUCGCUGCCUGCUGACUGAGUGCUCCCCGAGGGGUCCUUGCAGCAAGUCCUCCCGUCACACACGCUGAAGCCCCAUGACAGUGAUGCUCAUGCCAGGCAUCUCUCCUCUAUCCCCUGGCAGCUUUCUGACAAAGGGAUCGAUACUUUGGGUCUCUUUUGAAAGUCAGUUUUCUCACUGGCAGCCCAUGUAGACCACCAACAAAUGCCGGCCAAGCCAGGAGCCUC